rnacentral:lncRNA from 1 species
CACUACAUUCAAACAUCAACACUUUAAUCCAAAAAUAGUUAACUAUGAAACAGCAACCCCACCCACCUGAAAGUUAUAAACAGAAUGUUUAGAAUAGUAAACACCAGAGUGGAGGCUUGAAUGGCUUCCAUAAGGCUCAUAUAUUUGAGUGUCGGUCUUUGCAGCUGUAAUACCACCUUUGAUAUUACUACCAAGGUGGGUCACUGUGAUGGUUUGAAUAUUCUUGGCCAGGAAGUGGCAGUAUUAGGAGGUUUUGUUGGUAUAGUUGUGGCCUUGUUGGAGGAAGUGUGUCACUGUGGGAGUGGGCAAUGAGGCCCUGCUCCGAGCUGCCUGGACACAGUCUGCUCCUGGCUUCCUUUGGAUGAAGAUGCGGAACUUCUCCAGCACCAUGCCAGCCUGGACACCUCCAUGCUGCCCACCAUGAUGAUAAUAGACUGAACCUAAGAACCCAUAAGCCAGCCCCAACUAAAUGUUGUGUUUUGUAAGAGUUGCCUUGGUUAUGGUGUCUCUUCACAGCAAUGGAAACCCUAACUAAGACACUGUACUACUGGAUGUGACAAGCAAGAAUGCUAGGUGUUAUAGAGGCUGAACAUACCUGCCCAGUGUACUGAUUCAUUUUUGUGUGUCGACUUGACACAAGCUGGAGUUAUCACAGAGAAAGGAGCCUCCCUUGAGGAAAUGCCUCCAUGAGAUCCAGCUGUAAGACCUCCCUUAGAUAAAGUCUUCUUAUCAUCUCGGUCUCCAGGAGGUACCACUGGACAUAGAAAGCAAAUGGAGAGACAUGGCAAGGAGAAAGGAUGUCAGUACUGAAGCUACUGCUAAGAGCCAAGAAAGGGGCUGGAAAGAGGACUCAGCUGUCAAGAACACUUGCUUCCUUCCAGACAACUCAGGUUCAACUCCCAGAAUCUUCGUAGGGGCUCACAACUGUGUGAACCUCCAGUCCCAGGGGGGAAUCUGAAACCUCUUCUGGUCUGUGCAAGCACCAGGCACAAAAGUGGUACACAGAUACACACAGAAGCUAAACACCCAUACACAUAAAAUAAAAAUGUAAAAAGGAUGAAUUAAGAGUCCUGUAAACACCACAGGAAGAUGAUGCUCAGAGCCCCCGAGUACCUGACUGUUCUUGCCAUGGAUUCAUGGGACAGAACCAGGUAAUAUCCAGUAUGUAAGAACUUGAGCAUAGUAGAUACUCAGAAUGUGAGUUUGUCGUUGAUUUGUCAUUGAUUUAAAAACAAAUAGAAACAGGACAAUGUGUGAGCGUAAACACCUACGUGACAGGCAAGUCGGACAUUGAUUGUUGGUACAACCAUGUGCAAGAGUCGCUUGGCUACUUUCACUUCCUAUAAACUGUGUUAUUAUAAGAAAACUUUAAUGGGAAAGAGAACCUGAGAUUUCCCACCAUGUAUUCCAAGAUUCAAAAGGAUAAUAGAAACCAGUACUUAGAGGUAAUCUCUGGUCUUCUCUUCAAUAGAUUUUCCAAAAUUCUAUCACACAGAAACUUCAAAGCAAGAAAAAUGAGCCAUUUAUAGGCUGAGGUUUCACCAAAAUUUAUGCCUCAGAACAUAAGAUGUAACUAAGAGGUUCCAUCCAGGACAUUUUCCCAAGAUGAAAGGACUUAGUCUAAAAAGAAGCAGUGACCACAAAACUCAGUGAGCAACCACUGUGGCCUUUCUGUCCACAGCGGAGCUGCUGUUUGCACUAGGGGUCUCCAGAGGCUUCCAGCACGUUCCUCGUGCAUCGCUGUGCUUGCAGCUCACUGGAACCUCUGACCGAUGGGCAUCUGAAGGCUUUGUCCUGUUCCUCUGUCCCUGUGUCUGCCUCCCAGUCAUGCCACUGUUUUCAACUCUUACCUAUUACUUCUUGAUGAAGUAGUUAGAUUGAAGUUCCCUCAAACACAUGGUCUGCUCCCCUAAAUUGUUUAAACCGUUGCUUGGGCCUAAGUGGGAAGCUAAAAGACAAGAGUCUCAAACACUGCCUUAUCUGGACAAUACUUGUGAAUUAUGAAUAUUUUAAAAUAGGCAUUUCAAUAUACACAUUUAUGAACACACACAUAUAUGAACACAUAUAUUACAAACUAAGUCACCAAGAGUCAGAAUUCCUGGAACUGUUGAGAAGACACGACGUGUCCCCUCUUCCCUUGAUGGGAAGCCAAGAUUUCAGCUGUGCUGACUUCUUUGGCUGUAUCACCAGCAGAAAAGAUACAUUAUGAACUUAGUAGAAAGACAUGCAUAUCUAUGAAGAUGAGUGGAAGCCUAGAUCUGUGAAGUGUGCUUAGAAAUGUACAGAGUGAGCUGGGCAGUGGUGGCGCACGCCUUUAAUCCCAGGACUUGGGAGGCAGAGGCAGGUGGAUUUCUGAGUUCGAGGCCAGCCUGGUCUACAAAGUGAGUUCCAUGACAACCAGGGCUACACAGAGAAACCCUGUCU